rnacentral:lncRNA from 1 species
GAUUACAAUAAAACUAUCCAUCACAAUGCUAAAAUUUUAGAUAGAAAUACACAAAUUAAAAUUUCAGAAGCAAACAACAUGAUACACUAUGACAAACUCAAAUAUUGCUGAAAGUUUACAUAGAAAUACACAAAUUAUUUAGCUCAUAUUUAAUUUACAAAUAACUAAACUAUUAAAACAUUCAAUAUUUCCCACAUAAUUUACUUAUUC